CUUGGGAGAGCAAUAUCAUCUCCCCACUAUGAACAGGACAUUCUGGCACCUUAAAGGGAGAAAGACCUUUACCUUCCCGGCCAUCUUUCCUCUUCCCUGACAGCUGAUGUUGCACACAACCCUUCUUGCUGCAAAUAGACCACAAUUUCCACUAAGCAGUUUGUUCCAGCAAAAGUCUCCUUCCACAGGAAAAAUAUGUCUCGUAUGAGGACAGACUGAAAGAGUUGGGGCUGUUCAGUCUGCAGAAGAGGAGGCUCCCAGCAUCUGGAAGGUAUCCUGUGGAAUACCAUUGGGAAGAUGAUUCCUUGCAGACUUUUAAGUUAAGGCAAAUAAAGACAAAGAGUCUUGUAGCCCACAA